UACUCCCCUGUUAUCCAUUGCUGAAAACAAAUAGCGGCUAUAGGGUUCUCUCUGUUGUUGCAUUCUCAAGUUUUCUUCUUUUGUGCCAAAUCCUUUCACAGUGAGCCCCCUUUCCCUGACGCUCACAAUCUUCUCCACGCUUCUUCUAUUUUCCCUUAUAAGCAUAUGGAGAUCAAGGGAAUUAGCCCUGAAUUUGUCAUUCUUUAAGCGUCAUUUGUCAUGAAAGUUGAGUGCUUUCUUAACCUAAUUCAGAUAAAUCACGUUGGAUUUUUGUAUUAGUUCAAGAAAGCAUUCAAAUUCAUGACAAGUGAUUACACAAGAAUAUGUCAACCGAAUUACUGCCAAGAAAGCAUUCAUAAGGAUGUGGUAAUGUACAGCGCAAUUAUUCACACUAUAUUCAAAGGUAGAGUUGCAGACGACGGUUAUGGUUUGUAUUCUGAAAUUAUUGCCAAGGGAAUUUUUCAUAAUCUUUUGAUCUAUAAUAGUCUAGUUUAUGGUUUUUUCAUUGCUGAUAAUUUACCAGAAGCUAUUGGUUUUGUAAAUGAAAUGAUAUUGAACCGUCUCGGACCGACAAGGUGCCGGCAGGGGACUUAUUGUCCAAUCUCGUGUGAAUACCAUGUCGAUAGCCGGAAUGUGAUCGAUCCGCCUUCAGAAGAACCUUAAUCAAAAUAAAGGUUAAUUGGCCUUCACCGAUCCAUCGGUACACUAACUAUCUCUAUAUAGACAGAAGAGGAGGAAAGGGGAAAAAAGGUACCGAUGGUGGGAGUAUUAUUUUGACAGGUACCUCUGACAGGUACCGAUUAAUGGACUAAUGAAAGAGUGGAUGAGGCAAUGAAUCUUUCAGGAAAUGCAUGGAGGAAUAUGGUUCCUGAGAUAGUGACUUAUACUUCUCUUAUCGAUAUGCAAAUGUGAAAGAAUCUCUUCUGUUUGGAUCUUAUUGAUGAGAUGCAUGAUUGAAAUCAACAACCAGAUAGCUUAUCUGUGUUGUAGUAAUGAUUUUAAUGUAUUGCUGUGUACAAGAUCACAUUAAUUUAUAGUAACCAAAAUAAUGUUAUUUUUUCUGUCUCUGUGCAUAAUCCUUUGUGUGACUUCAAGUGCUUCAGAUGCUAACCAAACUGGUUUAUGUUUUUAAUGUAGUUUCCACUUUUCAAACCACGGUUUCAAAAGUAGAGAGAUAGUUACAAGAACCAGGAUAUUGACCAACAUUCUUUUGUCAAAACAUAUAAAUAACAAUAGUUAAACUAAAAAUUUAAUCACAAUAAGAGAUGUCAUAUGAAGCAUAAUUUUUCUUGGCAAUGAGCAAACCAUAAAUAUGUUAUCAUCUACACCCAACAUGUGUUAACUCAAGGAGAUGAAUUAGAUUUUUUUUUAAACCUAAACUGAUACUUAUUCUCUAAUUGUAAACUGGGUUACACUAAUAUAAAGAAAUCUGUAAAAGUAUAAAACUACCCACAUCAUGUGUCAUAUGGGUGAUUACCUAAAAACCAGGAGCUAAAUUUUAGCAUCCUUACCACUAGAGAAUCGGUCAACAUGACCAAGUCUUAUUGAAUCAAAUCUAAAACAACUUAAAUGCAAAAUAGAAGUUUAAAUGACUUAACUACAAACAAUCCUUCUUUUAAACUAAAUGUUUAAGACAUUUAGUUUACUUCUGAUUGUUCCAAUUUGAGUAACUUAAUUUAACAUCAAUAUGCUUGCUUCUACAAUGAAAUACUAGAUUUUCAUACAGUUUAAUAGCUGAACUACUAUCACAUAAAACUAGAAUAUGUUUCCGUUUGUUAAGUCCAAUAUUAUCUUAAUGCAAACAUGCACAUUAUGUAGUAGCUAUAUAUUCUGAUUCUAUUGCAGAAAGUAUUAUUGGUUGCUUCUUGAAAGACCAUAAACUGCUCCAGUUCCUAGAGAGAAUACAAAACCUAAUGUACUCUUCCUAUCAUCUAUGUUUUUAGCAAAAUUACUAUCAAUAUAAGUUAUCAAUGUUGUAUCUUCUUCGUUUUUGUAGAAAAUUCCAAAUUUGUUAGAUCCUUUCAAAUAUCUUACAAUAUAGUAUAUUAUAUUUAACCAAAGUGUAAUGUGAACUUUGCAUUUCUAGCAACCCUUCACAGCUUGACAGAGCAAGAACACCAACUUCUUCCCCAGAGCAACUUCCUUAUUUGAACGGUCCUAAAGGUUUAUUGAUAACGACAUCAAGGUUCUGUGACAUGCCUUCUUACCUUUAUGCUUGUGUUUUCUUUCAAUGUUUCUAACCUCGUCAAGUCUGCAACUUCUAUUUUUCUUUACCUUUAUGCUUGUGUAUGCAAUUUAAUGUUAGGUUCGUGAUAUUUAAUUAUGAUGUUGCUUUUUCAUCCUUGGAAGUACUUACAGUGAGUGCAUUGGUUCAGGUACCAAAUACCAGAGACUCUCAUACUAAAAUACUUUAUAUUUAUUUGUCUAUCUAUCUAUAUAUUCUGCUCUUUGGCAAUAUUAUUAAGUUGCAUUGUGUUGCCUUACAAGUUAAUAUCACUGUGAUUUAUAUCAUCAUGUUUAUAUCGAUGUGGUUAUUAUUUUUAACGAGUUCUUCUAUGAAUAAAUCUCUGAUAUUUCAUGUUAUCUCAAGGUCCUUAUUUUUAUUUUAUUUUUGCUUAUAUUACUGUUAAACAGUUAUUCCAAUGUUAAUGGUCUUACAAUAUACUUUCCCAUUCAGUUUAGAAAAGUUAGCUGUAAGAUUCUUUGCUAUUCCUUGAGCAUAGUUUUUUAUGCUAUUCCUUGAGCAUAUUUUUUUGCUCUGUUAGUCACUUUGUGCUUUGAGUUUGUCUUUUUUGCUAUUUGACUACUUAUAUGCUCUCUUUGACUCAGGAAAACUCUGCUGUGUUUUACAAGUAGUUUUAGCCUAAAAUAGAGAGUAGUUGAAUAUUCCAUAAUUAUGUUUUCUCCUCAAUAAAUUGAGUAGCUCUGUUGUGGUCUAAACAUACGAAAAAAAUUGAUGAUUAUAUACAGAGAAAUAGGUAUUGAAGACGAUGAUUAUAUCCCUGAUAAAAAUAAUUAAUUAACACCAAAAAUUGAUAAAUGUUAUUAUGUAACACAUUGUACCUUACAUGCUUAUUAUGUUUAUUUUAAAGAAAAUGUUUUUUAAUAACUUGGUUUUUACAAUGUAGACGUGUGAUGAUGAUUUGAUUUGUGAUUGGUUCAUUUCAAAUAUUUUUUUUAAAAUAAAUUUAAACAAAAAUGAAUAAAAUAAUAAUACGUGGUUAUUGUGAAAAAUUGUUAUGAAAAAUUCUUAUUUUAAUUUUCACCUUUGAACCUACUUGGCUUCGAUUGGACCAUGGUGGUUUAGUAGUCAUGCUUUUUGUUAUCAAUCAAAGGAGUGCAAAAGAGGAAAGUAUCCACUCGUAAUGGAUCAAAGUGAACAACCAAUUUAGGAAGUACUACCUAAUUAUGAACAUUGUCAUAUAAGUAUAAUUUUGUAAUAGCACUUCAUGUUGUCUCUAUCACUCUGUGCCAGGUAAUUAUUAGAGUGGUUCAUGAGAUCCUUCACCGAUCAUACAGUCUGGAAGCCGAUAUAUGGAGUAUUGGUGUUAUUGCCUAUAUCUUAUUAUCUAGAAGUCGACCUUUUUAGGCACGAACAGAAUCUAGAAUUUUGAAAAAGAAUAUAAAACUGAAUGAGAAAAUAUUUUAAAAAAUUAGCUUCUCAUAAAAUUAGCUGAUUCUUUUAAAAAAAAUAUUGUAAACAAACAUAAAGUAGCUUCUGCAUUUUUAAAAAUAUCUAAACAAAAACAUAAUCACUAUAAUCACUUUUUUAUAAAAAUUUAUAACUAAUGUUAAUAUCAGAACAUUUCCACAAAGGAGCCGUGAGUCAUACCUACUGCAUAAUCACUCCUUAUUUUGUGUGUUUGCGUACAUGAAUAUACAAGAUUUAUUUAUUAGAACUUUAUAUUUUGUAUUAUUGUUUUCAAAAUUUUUUAAUGGUAUUUAAUUAAUUUAUAUAUGUCAAGGUGGUGUGUUAUGGAAAAGAAAUAAAGAACCUGAUUUGAUCAAAUGCAUUACAGAAUUUGAAACGGAUACAUGAUCACAUCCUUCAAUUUUCCAAGAGAAGGGAACCUUUAUAUGACUCAGCCUAGCCUAUGAAACUACUCUGAUUAUACCAAAACAGGAAAAUGCUUCCAAUUCGAAAGAGUUUUGAGUGUAAGUGUCUCCCCAGUGUUCCUCAUGCUAAUGGGGUUGCUCUAGUGCCUCCCUGUCCCUUUGCUAGGUCGCUCCUGGUUCAAUUACCACCCCUCAAGCAUAUGAAGUUGUCAUGGAGGAUGAAAAGUUCUUCUACAAGUAAUUAGGAGAACUUCACUUAUAAUGAUCAAGUGCAACAACAAGAGAACUUCACUUAUAAUGAUCAAGUGCAACAACAAGAUGAACAAUCCUUUAAUUUGUCUUUUUUUAUAGUGAUUAUUAGUAUUAAGGAAUUCCAGAUUUUAUUAAUUGAUAUGUUUAAGUAUUUAUCGACUCUAGACUUUAUUUAUUAGUA